rnacentral:rRNA from 1 species
GACGAACGCUGGCGGCGUGCUUAACACAUGCAAGUCGAACGGAAAGGCCCUGCUUUUGUGGGGUGCUCGAGUGGCGAACGGGUGAGUAACACGUGAGUAACCUGCCCUUGACUUUGGGAUAACUUCAGGAAACUGGGGCUAAUACCGGAUAGGAGCUCCUGCUGCAUGGUGGGGGUUGGAAAGUUUCGGCGGUUGGGGAUGGACUCGCGGCUUAUCAGCUUGUUGGUGGGGUAGUGGCUUACCAAGGCUUUGACGGGUAGCCGGCCUGAGAGGGUGACCGGCCACAUUGGGACUGAGAUACGGCCCAGACUCCUACGGGAGGCAGCAGUGGGGAAUAUUGCACAAUGGGCGGAAGCCUGAUGCAGCAACGCCGCGUGCGGGAUGACGGCCUUCGGGUUGUAAACCGCUUUCGCCUGUGACGAAGCGUGGGUGACGGGAAUGGGUAAAGAAGCACCGGCUAACUACGU